UACGGGGGGAGCAAGCGUUGUUCGGAUUUACUGGGCGUAAAGGGCGCGUAGGCGGCCACCGCAAGUCAGUUGUGAAAUCUCCGGGCUUAACCCGGAAAGGUCAACUGAUACUGCGGGGCUAGAGUGCAGAAGGGGCAACUGGAAUUCUCGGUGUAGCGGUGAAAUGCGUAGAUAUCGAGAGGAACACCUGCGGCGAAGGCGGGUUGCUGGGCUGACACUGACGCUGAUGUGCGAAAGCCAGGGGAGCGAACGGG
rnacentral:rRNA from 1 species